GGCACUUAUUUGUGGGUUUUGCUGAAUCGGUGAACAAAGGCUUAAAGAUAUGCACAAAACGUAAGUCCAGUUUUGCAAUGAAGAACUCACUAUUUGGUAUGAGUUUUGAUAUAUAUCACAAGGGAUAUG